rnacentral:rRNA from 1 species
AAACUUAAUAGUUACACUUUCAACAACGGAUCUCUUGGUUCUGGCAUCGAUGAAGAACGCAGCGAAAUGCGAUAAGUAGUGUGAAUUGCAGAAUUCAGUGAAUCAUCGAAUCUUUGAACGCACAUUGCGCCCCUUGGUAUUCCAUGGGGCAUGCCUGUUCGAGCGUCAUUU